rnacentral:rRNA from 1 species
GAUGAACGCUGGCGGUGUGCCUAAUACAUGCAAGUCGAGCGAACAGACGAGGAGCUUACUCCUCUGACGUUAGCGGCGGACGGGUGAGUAACACGUGGAUAACCUACCUAUAAGACUGGGAUAACUUCGGGAAACCGGAGCUAAUACCGGAUAACAUGUUGAACCGCAUGGUUCAACAGUGAAAGACGGUCUUGCUGUCACUUAUAGAUGGAUCCGCGUCGCAUUAGCUAGUUGGUAAGGUAACGGCUUACCAAGGCAACGAUGCGUAGCCGACCUGAGAGGGUGAUCGGCCACGCUGGAACUGAGACACGGUCCAGACUCCUACGGGAGGCAGCAGUAGGGAAUCUUCCGCAAUGGGCGAAAGCCUGACGGAGCAACGCCGCGUGAGUGAAGAAGGUCUUCGGAUCGUAAAACUCUGUUAUUAGGGAAGAACAAAUGUGUAAGUAACUAUGCACGUCUUGACGGUACCUAAUCAGAAAGCCACGGCUAACUACGUG